CUCUUCCUGCUGCCGCCUCUCAUCGUCAUCAUCUUCAUCCUGAGGAGGAGGAGGAGCCAGAGAACCGCCCUCACAGGUCACAAGGAGGAGAACGUCUACGUGGCGAUGUACGGUCGCCGUGGCAACAAAGAGGAGGAUGGGGUGGCGGCGAAGCAGGAGACGGAGGCGGAGUCUCUCUACGUUUCAUGUCAUCCUCCUGGGUCCGUGGAAGCACCAAUCACAGAGCCCGUGGAGGCAGAGGACAUCUACGUGUGACGACCAAUCAGAGCUCAGCUUGCUCUCACCUGGAUUAUUCCCUCAGACCGCCAGCUCCCUCCAGCUCUGACCUGCUGCUCAUAAACUCUGCAGAUCUAAAAGCACACCUGUGAAAUUUCAGAUUCAUGCUUCAAACACGUUUGUUCUUCUCAGGUAGAAUCUGGAGUCUGUUUGAACGACAACAUCUGAGGAACGAUUGAAGAACCUGAAACGUUCUCUGUUGUUUCUCAUCAUGUCAUCGGUUCAGAAUGGCUCACAUUGGACAAGUUGAUCAAAUAGUCUCUGAAUUUGGAGGAUUUUAAAGGUUUUGAGUCAUUUUCUACUGGUUUUAUGUCAUUUGGACAUUUUAUUGGACCCAUAAAGAUCCAAUGAACACAACAAUCAGCCAUCCAUUCAGAAUCUGUACGACUGAAUCAAAUCGUUUCUGAGUUCUAACAGUGUUUGUUUAGAACUCAGCACCAAUGAGAGGUUCCUGUUGGUUCACUGACAUGUUCAACAAUAAAAGUUUCUUUCAGCAACUUUGGGUUUGAGCUCCACAUGAGGAACAUCUGGACACCUGAACCAACAGCUGUCCUCCACCUGAGCGCCUCCUUUCCCAUCCCGUGUGAAUCCUAUUGGACAGUCUGCUGAACGAGGACACCUGUCCGCUGUCAUCACCUGCCAUAGACGAAGGAUUUGGAUCAUCGCUCGACACUAAACUGAUGAACUCAACAGUUCCUCAACUCAGGCCAGCUUUGCUCUGGUUCUGUUCCUCUGUCUGGUUCUCCGCUGACUCACUUCCACCUGGAUCCUGGUUCCGACGCCCCCCCUGUCCGCUCUCCGCCACCUGCCAGAUACGUGAUGCCUCUGGCCAUGUGUGAUUCCAUUUUGGGCUCCAGUGCUUUAACUCAUUGUGUAAUUCUUUGCUCAGCGUUUCCUUGGCUGCGCGUUAGCAUCGAUGCUGUUGCUAUAGUUCAUUCCCUGACAGCUUUCCUGAGCUUCUGGUUAGUUUUCCUGUUUAAACAGCUUCAGAUUCUCCUGAUUGAGUCUAAACAGCCUGUGCGUUUCAUUCUGGUGUCCCUCCUUCCCAGUCCGUUUCUCAUUUGGGUAUUUCCAUAUUACGCCAGCAGUCGGCGCCGUUGUUCCAUUUGUGAUAUUUGCACUUAAUUCCUGUAAACCAUCAGAUCAUUCAAAUAAAGCGUUAACGUCC